UUAAUGAAGUGUCACAAGCGACGACACCCGUUGUGAGGUCUAACUCAGAGAAAAGGGAAAAUGUCCAAGCUUGACCGUGGUUCUUGGUAUUUUCUGGCUGAAAUUGAGGGACCUGAG